GGCCUACCAUGGUGGUAACGGGUAACGGGGUGUUAGGGCACGACACCGGAGAGGGAGCCUGAGAAACGGCUACCACAUCCAAGGAUGGCAGCAGGCGCGCAAAUUACCCAAUCCCGACACGGGGAGGUAGUGACAAUAAAUAACAAUACGGGGUUCUUUCGGAUCUCGUAAUUGGAAUGAGUACAAUUUAAAUCUCUUAACGAGGAACAAUUGGAGGGCAAGUCUGGUGCCAGCAGCCGCGGUAAUUCCAGCUCCAAUAGCGUAUAUUAAAGUUGUUGCAGUUAAAAAGCUCGUAGUUGAAUUUCGGGGUUAGUAGGUUGGUCAUGCCUCUGGUAUGUACUGGUCUCACUGAUUCCUCCUUCCUGAUGAACCGUAAUGCCAUUAAUUUGGUGUUGCGGGGAAUUUGGACUGUUACUUUGAAAAAAUUAGAGUGUUUAAAGCAAGCUAACGCUUGAAUACAUUAGCAUGGAAUAAUGAAAUAGGACGUUCGAUCCUAUUUUGUUGGUUUCUAGGAUUGACGUAAUGAUUAAUAGGGAUAGUUGGGGGCAUUAGUAUUCAAUUGUCAGAGGUGAAAUUCUUGGAUUUAUUGAAGACUAACUACUGCGAAAGCAUUUGCCAAGGAUGUUUUCAUUAAUCAAGAACGAAAGUUAGGGGAUCGAAGACGAUCAGAUACCGUCCUAGUCUCAACCAUAAACGAUGCCGACCAGGGAUCGGCGGAUGUUACUUUUAGGACUCCGCCGGCACCUUAUG
rnacentral:rRNA from 1 species